rnacentral:rRNA from 1 species
AUUGAACGCUGGCGGCAGGCCUAACACAUGCAAGUCGAGCGGAUGAAGGGAGCUUGCUCCUGGAUUCAGCGGCGGACGGGUGAGUAAUGCCUAGGAAUCUGCCUGGUAGUGGGGGAUAACGUCCGGAAACGGGCGCUAAUACCGCAUACGUCCUGAGGGAGAAAGUGGGGGAUCUUCGGACCUCACGCUAUCAGAUGAGCCUAGGUCGGAUUAGCUAGUUGGUGGGGUAAAGGCCUACCAAGGCGACGAUCCGUAACUGGUCUGAGAGGAUGAUCAGUCACACCGGAACUGAGACACGGUCCAGACUCCUGCGGGAGGCAGCAGUGGGGAAUAUUGGACAAUGGGCGAAAGCCUGAUCCAGCCAUGCCGCGUGUGUGAAGAAGGUCUUCGGAUUGUAAAGCACUUUAAGUUGGGAGGAAGGGCAGUAAGUUAAUACCUUGCUGUUUUGACGUUACCAACAGAAUAAGCACCGGCUAACUUCGUG